AUGCAGUACAGCUCUAGAGGAUACUAUGGUGAAAGUGUGUGUGGGGACAGUUUAGUUCUUCCAUCCCAUCCUGCUGACAGCUGUUCCCACCCCAUGCCCUUGCCCCUGCCACCUGAGCUCCAUAGGACUCCCUGUUCUCCAGCACAUCUCCUAUGGUUCUGUUUGUUGUUGCUUCUGUGUGCGUGUAGAUGCCUUAAGCACGUGUUUUGCCCGGUGCAGGUGUCACUCAGCUGCCUGUGCAAUCUGGGGAAAACAAACAAGAUGUGGCAACUUUUGGAGCAGAAAGUGAACGCAGCCCGCUGUGACCUGCUCUUCACUGAGGACAUCAAUCGAAGGAUGCAGGUCCCCAACAGACUCACUGUGGCAAAUAGCUUCAGCCCUGUGGAUGAGGAGCCCAUGCCUGAAGGUGUACCCCCUUCCUUUCCAACACACAUCCCUGUUAGGAUUUCACUUGCAGCAUCAGAUGCAGAUCUGAGACCCAUCCUGCUGGACCAGCAGAGGAAUGUCCCCUGCACUGAGGUGUGCGUGUCCCUAGACUCCUCGGCUCAGCACUUUGCACUGGGGGAGCUUCCUUUUAUGCACAUGGCUGGCAGAUCAAGUGCCCAGAAUCGCAGACGACUGGGCCACCACAGCAGCAGGUCACGGCGGCAGAGCCAGCACAGCAGUGGAUCACGGCGGUCCCCAAGUGACAGCACCCAGCUGGCCUUGCCCAGCCCAGCCCUGCACCAUGAGCGGCUGGAUACCUGCCCCCCACCAGCUCACAGUGCUCCACUUCCCCUCCUUGCCAGGACGGGCAGGAUCUAUUCCAUGCAGAACAUCUUCCAGACCAUGUACCUGCUGGGCCAGGUGCUCUUCCACCGUUUCCAGAACUCUCUGCGAGACCCAGUGCCAUCCAGCUCCCAGGAGGUUGGCGCAGCCCCAGAGGAGGUCAUCGUGGCUGAGGCUGCAGCAAUGAAAAAGGAGCUGGCAAGGAUCUCGGAGCGGCUGUGUGUGCUGGAGGAGCAGCACAAGGCUUGGCGGAAAGAGGAGCCCCUGGUGUACUCCAUGCUGCUCUCUGCCUGCCUCGUCAACACCUGGCUCUGGCUGUGGAGAUGACUCUGUGCCUUGGGCUCCCUGACCCACCCUGGGUGAGAGCAGAGAAAGGAUCCUUGCUCACUUAUUGUGGAUGGUAAAACUGUGUGUUUCUUCUGAACUUGACCUGCUUCUUGGUAUCCUUUAGGAUCUGAGGUGGAACCAUAAAGCUGGACUUGGUGCCACAGCAGCUGGAGAUGGAUGACAGGGAGUGGUGGGGUGGGACAGAGAGCAUGGUCCAGUGUGCACAGUCCCAGGGCUGGGCUGUGUUUGGUGUGUGGUAGCAACUAUGUGGCAUGUUUGAUGGGGUCAAUUGUCACAUGGGAAGCUGCUGUGGAAAACCCAAGCCUCAUAAGAAAUUUGUGAAUGACACAGGAGGUAUUUGUCCUGCAUAGAUCAAUGGGAGAGCCUCUGCCCCUUGGGCUGUGUAUUGGAGGAGGCACAAAGCCAAGUGUUAGGUUUCUGUGGACAUCAGGUCCUGUUACAAUCUUAGGCCAUGUUGAACUGGUCCCCUCCUGUGUCACAGCUUGGAUAACUUAGUUCUGCCUCCAUAAAAUUUCUCAGCCAAUUCAUAGAACCGCAGAAUGGCUUGGAUUGGAGGGGAACUUUCAGCCCACCCAGUCCCAGCCCCUGCCAUGGGCUGGCUGCUCCCAAACAGCUCAGGCUGCCCCCCCCAUCCCACCUGGCCUUGAGCACCUCCAGGGAUGGGCACCCACAGAUCUCUGGGCAUCAGCACCAGUUGCUGUGGUCCCUUCUUCAACUUCUACCCCAAAAGCUUGUGCAGAGUGUUUGGGUGUUUUUGAACUGCUGCUAGGUUUUCUUUGUUUCCCUGAGCAACUGUGUGAGUUGUCCUGUGCCAGGGCAGCCCCUGCUCCAGGAGAGGGGUGGGCCUGGAGGAGCCAGGGGCUGCCAUCUGCAGGGGAGUUGGACCAAAUGACCUUUAAAGGUCCCUUCCAACUCAAACAAUUCUAUGAUUCUAUGGUCUCUGCUGUGGCACCACCUCCUCGGCUCCUGUUGUGCUGGAGGCUCUCAGCAGUGGUUUUGCAAGCACUCGGAUCCCAGGUGGCUAUAAGAGCACUGCUGAGUUCUGGACUCUGGACUUAUCCAGGAGCUUGGCUUUUUCCCAGAGAGAUGUACAUGGGAAACCUCCCCAGGGUAAUUGUAAGACCUUGUAAUAACAGCGCAGGCAGCAGACAGGCCAUGGACAGUUGCCCAUUUGGGCAGCAGUGGUUAUCUGUGAGAUUGCCAGUGCCAGAGGGCAGGAUCACUCCCAGUCUGCUGCCAAGUUGUAACUUCAGCAUGGUACAACAGCACAGGUGAGGGGAAUCCUUGGCUCAGGUGCCAAAAACCAAGCCCAGUUCAACAGCUCUGCUGUUUCUUUCCUUCCUUGAUGUUUAGGAACACUUGGAUUCACAGUGAACUGUGGUUCAUCCAACACAUCUGCUAGAGUGGUGCCUGCAGGCCUGGGGCAGGUGUUGGCAAUAGGACUUCUCUGUCCCACCUAUAAAUGAUUGUAGCUGGAUCUGCAAAUCACCCAGAUGUCUCAAUGGCUUAUUUACAGACAUGGAUGCUUAGCUGUUCCCUGCCUGCUGCUGCAUCAAGUCUGCAUGGCUGUAAAUCUGGCAGCUGGACAUUUACUAAUAAAUAACUGUCCCACAAGUAAUUGCA
rnacentral:lncRNA from 1 species